rnacentral:rRNA from 1 species
UACGUAGGCAGCGAGCGUUGUUCGGAAUUAUUGGGCGUAAAGAGCUCGUAGGCGGUCUGUCGCGUCGAUCGUGAAAACUUGGGGGCUUAACCCUGAGCUUGCAGUGGGUACGGGCAGACUAGAGUGCGGUAGGGGAGACUGGAAUUCCUGGUGUAGCGGUGAAAUGCGCAGAUAUCAGGAGGAACACCGGUGGCGAAGGCGGGUCUCUGGGCCGUAACUGACGCUGAGGAGCGAAAGCAUGGGGAGCGAACAGG